rnacentral:sRNA from 1 species
UCGUAGAUUGUGCGCGAGGCGUCGCCGGC